rnacentral:rRNA from 1 species
UACGGGGGGGGGCAAGCGUUGUUCGGAAUUACUGGGCGUAAAGGGCUCGUAGGUGGCCAACUAAGUCAUACGUGAAAUCCCUCGGCUUAACCGGGGAACUGCGUCUGAUACUGGAUGGCUUGAGGUUGGGAGAGGGAUGCGGAAUUCCAGGUGUAGCGGUGAAAUGCGCAGAUAUCAGGAGGAACACCGGUGGCGAAGGCGGGUCUCUGGGCAACAACUGACGCUGAGGAGCGAAAGCGUGGGGAGCGAACAGG